AUUUAAGGGUUGGCAGCUGAGGCAGAAGUCUCUCACUGGAGAUCCCUACCUACCAGAGGCUUUCCAAAGCCAACAUGCAUACUGAGAACUUCUGGAAGACUUCACUUCAUGAUGACAAGACUCAACUAUUUCAGGUUGCUUUCCUCACUCUUCACCUGGGAGAGAAAAAGAUAAAGAUCUGUACAAAAUCCAUGCCAGACUCAAGGAUGCCUUCAACCAAGCUGCAAUCACUGAAAUGUUGCAAUAAAUCAGAGGGCAGCAAAUCUACUGCACUGAAUGCUUUCUAAGCAAGUAAUCUGCUACAAUGGAACAGCUCUCCCAACUGCUACA